CUCCUACCUCUAUAAAUACAAAGCUCUUAAUCAUUAUUCAGGUACGUUUUACAUAAUUUUCAGUUCAUAGCCUUACGCACAAAUCUCUCUCUGACUUAAGCAUUGGAGGGGUGACGAGGACACACCUUGACGCCUUUGUUUCAGGUACCGGAAGAUCUCGUUCGUGCUCAUUAUCAGUCGUCAAGCUCGAAAAAUCAACAGGUACGAUUUUUGGUAGCAUCACUUAUGAAUUAGAUGUAAAUUUUUUUUGAGUUAAAUGUUUUUCUAUUUCACCAUCUUCAUUUCUAUCCAAAAUUAUUGGUCAUUACCUAAUAGAUAAUGAAAGAAAAUUAUCCCAUUAAGUAUUUUCUCGCAUUAAUGAAGCUUCUCAUGGAAGCUACUUUUUUUUCUAGAAAUUCGUAACAAAUCGAAAAGAAAAAAUUACUACAUUUUUCAUUAAGGGUAUAACAAUUUGAUACCAAAUUUGGCCAUUUUUAUAAGAGUUAUUAAAAGUAGAUACUUUUCAAUUUACAAGCAUGUAAUUGACCAUUUUUUAAAAUUCCCCUCAUAACAAGAGCAAUUAGGAAUCACUACUAUACUCCAAUUUUCAUAGACCUUAAAAUUCUUGCCCGAAAAGGUUUGUCCAAACUGCCAAUCAGCUAGUGCCACGUUCCUUGAGGUUGAUUUGUGUCCGUCACUACCCGUGACUCUAAAGGCAAAGCCUGGCCCGCAAGAAUUGAACUGGAUUGCCAGUUUUGCCUUCAGUUGCGGUUCACGGACAUCCAUUUCAUAACUUUAAUACCCACCCGCACUUAUAUGCCUUGCACUCGUAACAUUGGUAACCAUAACCAGCUUGAAGUAACUGUUCCCGUUUAUUGUGAAUCUUAUUCACCCUUGUUUUUUGCAUGGCACCCUGGGAAAAAAUAUAAAUUAAUUAACUAGUUUAAACAUUAGAACAAGUUUGUUUUGUAGUUAUAAUGGGUUUAAAUUAUAAAUAAAUAAAAAUAAGUAAUGGAUAAGUAAACAAGUAGUCCAUUUGAUAUGACUUUUGCUUCAUCUAGAAAACGUCCUCAAGUGAGCAAAUAGCUUGUUUUAUCAGGGUUUUUACUUUUGCUUUUGCUUCAUCUUAAAGAAUUUUUGAGAAAGGUACCUUAAUUUUUGUUUAAAAAAUAAUUUUUAAAAAGUAUCUUAUUCUGAAAGUACUUUUAAAUGAAACAGUAUUAAACCAACUUUCUCUAAAAACAAUUCUAACUAUAAGAACCACUUUCAUAAAAUUAGUCAAACUGAUCCAAAAAUAACUAUUCGAACUAGAUUAAUCACUUCCAUAAAAGUAGUCAAACUUUUGGAUCCCAAAAGUUCUUUUGUGAUUUCUCAAAGGCCAUGUCAAACUAAACUCCUUCGUCAAACUACAAUAAUUCAAAUAAUGACAUGUUCAAUCUUAACUCUUACAAAAUGACGUAGUCUAAUCUUAUGUGGCUUUCGAAUCUUUCUUUGCUGAGUUCUUCAUAAAUUUGAUUGAUAAAAUCAUACGAAGAAGAAGAUAACGAGCUCACAAUAAUUAAAAGAAGCACUGUUGAACUUCAAUUCGAUUUGGAACGAUAGAAACGACACUACGGUAUAAUAACAGUUUUGAGUUAAACUGGGGUCAAUUUAAUUAAAUUGGGCUUGGACUAAAAAUUACAAAUAGAAUAAUCAUAUUUUUGGGUUUGAGUUAAAUUAAUUAGUUAGCAAAUUUGUUUUAAAAAAAUAAAAAAAUUUACUUAUUUAAAUAAAUAAAUUUUUAAAAAUUAGAGAAAUAUGGUUCUUCGAUUCUUGAUUUAGAUUCAAGAAUCGAAUCGAAUCCCAUCGAUUUUUUAUUCAAAUAUUCGUUCAGGUAUUUAAUUUAAGAAGAACCACUCGAUUCAGUGUAAUUUGGAUUGUUGAGUUCGAUAGAUUCAGUUCGAGAGUUUUGUCUGACCGUAAAAAAAUUACAUUUUCCAUGAAAAAUAAAGUCAAUCAAUCACACUCUUGUUUCUUUUGCUUUUAAGAAAGAAAUGUUAAUUAAGGAAGUGAAAAUUAUACCCAACCAAAUUUUUUAAGUUUCAACUUCAAAAUUUAGAUUUAAAGUUUUUUAAUACAAAAAUUCAAUUAAUAAUAUAAUUUUUAAAUAUUAAUGAUAAUAUUAUAUAAUUAAAAAUCUACAAAUCCACCACCUACCAAAACAUUCACCCACCCCAAUUUUAUUCUACACAUUCCAUCCUACCACGCAAGCCACCCCACAUAAUUCACUGUAAACCCUAAUUUCCCUUUAUAUAAUUUCUAUAAUAAUGCUAUGUGUACAGGCCCGAUUCACAGGGCUUUUAUAGGGAAUUCAAAUUGUGGUGACGUCGUGGCUACCAAAAGCAAGGGAGAGGGGGGGAGGGGGGACCAAAUGGAAAAGGAGGGAACACUUGACUAACCCGCGUACCCACACUCAUUUCCCCAAAUUGAGAAACUCCCAAAAUCGGUCUCUCACGGCUGGCAUCUUUCGGCGAUGGUCUAUCAAAAACUCCGGCAUGUUGAAGCACAUAAUAGCAAAUUUUGUAUUGUUGUCAGAUUUUACACGUAUGCAGGCAUCAUGCCUCCUAUUUAAAUAGAGAUGAAUAUAUACUAUCAUUUUCUUACUAUAGUUGCAUCUUUGACCUUUUCCCACUACUUUGCCUUUAUCUUCAACCUUGUCUCUUUGUAGAUUUUGUUUGUGUUCAUCAUAUUUAUUGAAAUUCGAAAGCAGAUAAAAAUAAUAGGAAAAUAUUGUGAAUUUGCGAGAUGAUCAAUAGAUGAUUUUCACUUUCAGAUUGCAGAAGAUUUGUUGGUAUUUCUUUUGUUUAUAGCGUGCUUUUUAUAAUUCAAUAGAGUUGUUGAUUCACGUCUUUUACAUGAUGAAUUCUCAUCCAACAAGUAUGGCUAUAAUAAUAUUAGAUCAUUCUUCAAAUUUGUGACCAAAAGGCAGGAUUAAAACACAUUAUUGGGAUUACAAUACACACCUGAAAGCUUAUUUCAAGAGAUAGAAACCGUCGACUGAUGAUGCUUGGAUUAAACAUAUAGAAUCACUCUCAAAGUUUUGGUAGGAAUGCACAAACAUCUCAACUAAUGAACAUAGCAAAGUUUUGUUUAUUAUAAACCCAAACCCAUCAAGCAAAACAAACAUUUCAUAAUUAUCAAGUUGGCUCUUUUCCUUUUGUGUUCUUCAGUGUUGGUUUGUGCCGGCAGGACGAGGAGCAAACUCUAGUGGUGUUUUUGGAGUGGGGGAAGUAAACCGCUUGGGUUUGCUGAUGUUCGAUGUCGACGUAAAUGUUUGGAGGCGCCCAUCAAAGGAGGAGAUGUCUUCAGCAAUGUUAUCUUAGAGGAAAUAGUGGCCAAUGGCUGCCCCACUCGAUUUUUUCAAAAUGGCCUUCGACCGAAUUUAUUAAUAAAAAAAAAGAGAGAGAAAAUGUAAACUAAACCCAAAGGUCGAAAAAACCCUCAUUUGGAAAGAAGAGGAGGAAAAUAGAGAGGGAAAAAAAAGGAGUCAAGACCUGGCCUACUUCGACCAAGACCGGAACCACGUCGAACAGCCGAAAAUCGCCAUUUCUGGAAUGUUAGAUCUUUGUAAAUAAUUACUCUCCAUUGUAAUAUGUGGAAGUUUGAAUGUUUAGAGUUUGAAUAUGAGUUAAAUUCAAUUUUUUAUGGUUAAAAUGGAAGAAAUGUCGAAUUUGAGAUUAAAAUGUUGAAAAAAAGUGGAAAAAAUGAGACGGAUCUCGCUAGAAAUGGAGUUUUCCGACGAGCCCAUAGACAUCGGAUGGUCCGUUACUGACCACGGACCAGAUGGUCCGUAACGAACGUCUGGGUUCGGGCGGGCCGGCCCGACCCAGACUUCUUCUUUUUUCUUUUUUUUUAAAGGAAC
rnacentral:lncRNA from 1 species